UACGUAGGGUGCGAGCGUUAAUCGGAAUUACUGGGCGUAAAGCGUGCGCAGGCGGUGAUGUAAGACCGAUGUGAAAUCCCCGGGCUUAACCUGGGAACUGCAUUGGUGACUGCAUUGCUGGAGUAUGGCAGAGGGGGGUGGAAUUCCACGUGUAGCAGUGAAAUGCGUAGAGAUGUGGAGGAACACCGAUGGCGAAGGCAGCCCCCUGGGCCAAUACUGACGCUCAUGCACGAAGGCGUGGGGAGCAAACAGG
rnacentral:rRNA from 1 species